rnacentral:rRNA from 1 species
AUACGGAGGGAGCGAGCGUUAAUCGGAAUUACUGGGCGUAAAGCGCGCGUAGGCGGCUUUGUAAGUCGGAUGUGAAAGCCCUGGGCUUAACCUGGGAAUGGCAUUCGAUACUGCAGAGCUAGAGUAUGGUAGAGGGAAGUGGAAUUUCCGGUGUAGCGGUGAAAUGCGUAGAUAUCGGAAGGAACACCAGUGGCGAAGGCGACUUCCUGGGCCAAUACUGACGCUGAGGUGCGAAAGCGUGGGGAGCAAACAGGAUUAGAUACCCCAGUAGUCC